rnacentral:siRNA from 1 species
ACCAGAAGGAGUGUUGAUUGCUGG